UUGACGGGGGCCCGCACAAGCGGUGGAGCAUGUGGUUUAAUCGAAGCAACGCGAAGUAACCUUACCAGGUCUUGACAUCCCGAUGCUAUUCUAGAGAUAGAAAGUUACUUCGGUACAUCGGUGAUAGGUGGUGCAUGGUUGUCGUCAGCUCGUGUCGUGAGAUGUUGGGUUAAGUCCCGCAACGAGCGCAACCCCUAUUGUUAGUUGCCAUCAUUCAGUUGGGCACUCUAGCGAGACUGCCGGUAAUAAACCGGAGGAAGUGGGGAUGACGUCAAAUCAUCAUGCCCCUUAUGACCUGGGCUACACACGUGCUACAAUGGUUGGUACAACGAGUUGCGAGUCGGUGACGGCGAGCUAAUCUCUUAAAGCCAAUCUCAGUUCGGAUUGUAGGCUGCAACUCGCCUACAUGAAGUCGGAAUCGCUAGUAAUCGCGGAUCAGCACGCCGCGGUGAAUACGUUCCCGGGCCUU
rnacentral:rRNA from 1 species